rnacentral:rRNA from 1 species
GGGGGAUAACGUCCGGAAACGGACGCUAAUACCGCAUACGUCCUACGGGAGAAAGCAGGGGACCUUCGGGCCUUGCGCUAUCAGAUGAGCCUAGGUCGGAUUAGCUAGUUGGUGGGGUAAUGGCUCACCAAGGCGACGAUCCGUAACUGGUCUGAGAGCGAUGACCAGUCACACUGGAACUGAGACACGGUCCAGACUCCUACGGGAGGCAGCAGUGGGGAAUAUUGGACAAUGGGCGAAAGCCUGAUCCAGCCAUGCCGCGUGUGUGAAGAAGGUCUUCGGAUUGUAAAGCACUUUAAGUUGGGAGGAAGGGCAGUAAAUUAAUACUUUGCUGUUUUGACGUUACCGACAGAAUAAGCACCGGCUAACUCUGUGCCAGCACCCGCGGUAAUACAGAGGGUGCAAGCGUUAAUCGGAAUUACUGGGCGUAAAGCGCGCGUAGGUGGUUCGUUAAGUUGGAUGUGAAAUCCCCGGGCUCAACCUGGGGAACUGCAUUUCAAAACUGACGAGCUAAAGUAUGGUAGAGGGUGGUGGAAUUU